rnacentral:lncRNA from 10 species
AAUGUUCAGGAGGGGAGAGGCUGUUCUCAAUGAGGUGAAUGCACUUUGGAAAAGAAGCCGCUAUGGGGAUGGAGGUCUGUGGCCCAGCAGGGGGGCUCUGGCUGGAUCUAAGCAUGCAGGGGAAGCAGCCCAAGGUUGUGCUCCCCUAGGCUAGCCUUGAGGAAAGAGUUCUGGGCAGGGGUGGGGUGAGGUGGGUGGGGAGCACAAUUUGCCUUUGCAGUCUCAACCUCUGAAGGUCACUGUACAAACUUCAAAUGAAUUCAGCAGCUCAAUACCAAAAUUAAGUAGAGCAUCCUCUGGAUCUUAAAUGGUUCUCUCAUUCUCUCUCUGGACUUGACCCCAUUUUAUAUUUUAUUAGGUUUUUAAUCAGGUUCCAUUAUGAAGUGCUUUAAACAAGGUUAGAAUCUACAAAUGCACAAAGGGAGAGAACACUGCCUGGUCUACCUGGUUUAAGAAACCAGAGUGGAAGCCUCUGAGAAUGGAGAAGGCUUUGCUCAGUCCCUGGGAGCGGCCCUGGACUUCCAUCAUCAGCUUUGUCCCCUUCAUGCUGGCUCCUCAGCAGCAGGGAGCAGUGGCUCAGCACAUGGACUCUGAGGCCAGAGUGCUUGGGUUUAAACAGCAGCGACACCAAUCACCAACAAUAUGGAUGGUGUGGUCUUGGUACUUACCUGAUAGGGUGGUUACAUGACCUGCCUGCUUAUGAGGAGGAAAUGGAGGUACCGAGUACAUGGCUAAAUGUAAAUGGAGGGCUCAGGGCAGUGCCUGGCACAGUUUCUAUUCUGUAAUUGCCUGCUGCUAUUAAUGAUGAUACCACUGAAAGGAAACAAAGACCCAGGGCUUCAACAAAUAGCAAGAGUGUCUGACCUUGAAGGACGCUGGGCUUGGGCUGUGCUCAUCCAUUCAUUGAACAGAUUUAUUCAGUGUCUACUCAGUGCCAGACACUGAACUAGGCUGGAGGGUACAGCAGUGAAUGAAGCUGAAUAUUCCUGCCCUCAAGGAGCUUAUGACCAGUGGGAAAGACACAGAUUCAGCAAAGAUUCCCACUAAUGAACGAGUAAUGACAAAAUGAGAUGAAUGCUCUGAAGGGAUGGAAUUCAGCUUGCUGAGUGCACGGGAGAGCUGUUACCUGACCUGGCCUUCUGGGUAGUGGGAGUUGGCUCUGUCUGAAACUUGGAGGACGGUCAGGCAUCAAUGAUGGGAGUCUGGAGGCAGCUGGGAGCCUUCUAGAUAGGGUGGAGCUGAACGAAGGCCCUGGGGCAGGGGCCAGAGGGAUCUUAUAAAAAGGGAGGAGGGUAGGGAAGGGAGUGGAUGUCAUUCAUGGGUCCCACUGAAGUUAGCGUGAGGACAACCCUUUAAGCAGUUAUAAGGCCAGGAAUGGGAGGCAUUUGCGUGAUUUAGGAGUGCAUUUUGAAAAGAUCAUUCUGGUUAUAACAUGUGGAAGAGAUAAGGCUGAAAUGGAAGCUGGAGAGGUUGUGGGGAGACCCAAAAAGGGUGGAAGUGGUUUUGAAGCAUCCCCUGGAGUGCCUGUAACAUAGUUCCUGCCCAGCUUGCUGUCCCCACUGGAGAUUUUUUUUUUUAAAACAGGGUCUUGCUGUUACCCAAGGUGGAGUAUAGUGGCACAAUCUCUGCUCACUGCAGCCUCAAACUCCUGGGCUCAAAACGUCCUCCCA